rnacentral:rRNA from 1 species
CAUGAAGCUGGAAUUGCUAGUAAUGGCAGGUCAGCAUACUGCCGUGAAUACGUUCCCGGGCCUUGUACACACCGCCCGUCACACCAUGAGAGUUGGAAAUACCCGAAGCCUGUGAGCUAACAGUAAUGAGGCAGCAGUCGAAGGUAGAGCCAAUGAUUGGGGUGAAGUCGUAACAAGGUAUC